AUGAUCAUUGACUAUGCUCAUUUCGGUGAUGUUGUUACUUUCGAUAGAACAUUUGGGACAAACAAAGAGUACAGACCCUUCGGUGUGUUUGUUGGAUUCAACCAUUUUAGAGAAAUGGUCAUUUUUGGUGCUGCACUUUUAUAUGAUGAGACAUUUGAAUCAUUCAAAUGGUUGUUCAACACAUUCCUAUCAUUGCAUAACAAGAAGCAACCUAGAACAGUCUUUACUGAUCAAGAUGUAGCAAUGGGUAAUGCAGUUCAGGCAGUAUUUACCGAAGCAUGGCAUGGAUUAUGCACUUUUCACAUAAUGCAAAAUGCCAUUAGGCAGUUACCUCAUAAGAAAAAAGACGAGGAGGGACCAAAUGUACUUGCUGAUUUCAGUGCUUGCAUGUACAAGUAUGAGGAAGAGGAAGCCUUUGUAGAAGCUUUCAAUGCCAUCAGAAGCAAUGUGGAUACACAAACUUGGUUGCACAGGAUCUACAAAGUAGAAGAGAAAUGGGCAAGAUGUUACAUGACGAAUGCUUACACUAUAGGCAUGAGAAGCACACAAUUAAGUGAGAGCUUGAACAGUGACUUGAAAGACCAUCUAAAGCCUGAUCUUGACAUCCUUCGGUUUUUCAAGCAUGUAGAGAGGGUUGUGCAAGAGAAAAGAGAUAACGAGGUAAAUGAGGAAUAUGAGUCUAGGAAAAAAUUACCUAGAGUCAGAAUGAGGACUCCUAUGGUAAUACAAGUGAGCAAGGUUUACACGCUACGCAUAUUUGAAGAUUUUCAGAAUGAAUACGAAAGAUCUAUCUCAGCAUACAUCAAGACAUCGAUAGAACACAAUGCAUAUAUUGUUGCAAUUGCAAGUCUUGACCCAAAAUUCACAUAUGAAGAAGAGUGCAAAGUUGUAGUUGACCAUGAAGAGCAAAAAAAAUUCUGCGAUUGUGGGAAAUUUGAAAGAGUUGGUAUAUUCUGUAGUCAUGCUUUGAAAGCACUUGAUGUCAUGAAUAUUAAGUACCUUCCAGGCCACUAUAUUUUGAAGCGAUGGACUCGAGAAGCGCGAAGCGGCACUAUACAAAACAGCCAUGGAAACAUUGUUUUGGAAGAUCCUAGAUCAGAAGGCAGACAACAGUUUAAGUUUUUCAUGCACGAGUUCCUUGGCAUAGCUUCACAAGCAGUUACAUUAGAAGAGUGUAUCAAACUAGUAGAUGAUGAUUUGAAGAAUCUUAGGAAGCAAGUUGAAGAGAAAGCUCGUACUACUACGUGCAAAACUGAAGAUAUAUGUAAAGAACCAGACGAUUUUUUAAAGGAUGCUUGCCUAAAGAAAAAGGAAAUUCCAAAGAAAAAUUCAAGAAGUACGAAAUCAUGGCUUGACAAUCAGCACCCAAAUAGAAAGAAGGAGACAACUAAAGCGGUACCCAAAAAUCAAAAUCAUUCUGUAAAUCUCUCGCACAUGUCUAACCGGACUACUUAUUAA
rnacentral:rRNA from 1 species